UUUCCCUUCUCAUUAUCAGCAUCGCCACGUUUUCUUGCUGCCAUUUUGGACUUGGAGCAGGGAGAAACAGGUUUCAGGAUUAUAAAAAUACUUAAUGCAGUGUAAAAACUGCAAAUUCAGCAUUUCGAGUGAAGACGUCCUUCUAAAGCACUAUCGGCUGCAUCACCCAAGCAUUUCCAGCUGGCCUUGUAUUCAUACGGGGUGUGUUUGUGUCUUCAGGACAGCAGGUGAAUGAUGUUGUUAAUCACAGAAGGACUACUGCUUUGAAAGGCCUGCCUUUGUUUCUUCGAGAGGAUCCAAACGAGCUGUUCAAGACAUGCAAAGACACCGAAGAUGGGGCAAAAGGAGUGUCUAUUGCCAUUCUGUGUGUUUUGGCAGAUGACACCCAGGCGACAUCACCCGAGGUUGUAAAUAUUGCUGUUGUGUUGGAGCAGGUCGUCGUUUUGAAAGAUCUCCCAUGUCCUAUCCUCAAGCUCUUAAGUACACUUUUGACACCAUUCAGAAUGUUUUCAUAGAGCUGGGAUCUUGAUGCACCAAACGUGUACUUUCUCUGAAGAACAAACUGUUAUAAAGAAAAUCAGUAAUCAGAAAAUCAAAAAUCAGUUGCAGUAAGCAUGUCUGUUCUUAUAAAUGGUUGUUUAAAAUUGAGGGAUAGU